AAUCAUUUAUUAAGCCCUGCCCUGGCCUAAGGCACCACAUGAGUCGUAUCUUCCAGGUUCCGACUUGCUUCUGCUUUGCCACAUGGUAACACAAUCCUAUCAUGGAAGCACCAUCAUUACCGCCAUCGCAGGGGAAGCCCAAAGAGGCUGAUAAAAUGACUAGCUACACAGGACCCAGAGGGAUGUGCCGCUCCACCUGGUUCCCGCCGCAUCUGCCCCCAAGGAGCCACUAGUCCUUUCCUCCUGGAACAGAUAAAUGCCAGCCAGCAUCCCUGUCUCUGGGGCCCUGGAGAGGCCUUCAACACACCUGGUCUCACUGCCCUGUGGCUUCAACAAAGAGGCUGAGCAUCUCCUAUAACCCUCGAGGUCCAUGAAUGACGUAGCGGAGUGAUGGAUUUCAGAAAAGACACAAUGAACAGAAACCAGAGCAUUUGAAUACAGAUUUCCAGUAAAACCAAAACCAGUCUGGGUCAAGUGCACCUUUCCAGUGACCACUAUCUCAGCAACAACCUGCCAGCUGUCAAUCCAAGUUCAACUUCUGGGAACGUCAGCCCCCGCUUCUGAGAGGGGCAAAGUCCUGGCACUAACAGCACCUGCAGCGGGGUCCAGGUAUGGCUGCUUCAUGGAGAAGGUAUCUGUUUGCGUGCACAUCCUUCAGUGCUUGCAUCUCGUGUAUUCGAAAAUCCUGUUUAAGAAUGCAAAGGUCCAUAUAGUGUCAUUAAAACAAAUGAGUAUAA